CUGCUGUCUUUACUGAGGAGGGCAGGAGGACUCUUGAGCUGCCUAGGAUGAGGCAAAUCCAGAAAGGCACCUACUCUUGAACUGGCAGGGAAACUGCAGUGUCCUGGAUAUCUUCAAUUUUCAUGACUCCAGCCAUGAACACAGUUUUUUUGGUGGAGGAGACACGCAUUGGCAUUUGAUUGUGGUCACCUUUAAUCUCUACCAGGUGUCACAUCAGCAGUAGAGCUUGAAGAGAGACCUG
rnacentral:lncRNA from 1 species